AAGUCGUAACAAGGUCUCCGUUGGUGAACCAGCGGAGGGAUCAUUACGAAAAGGAGUACUCGUACUCUUAAACCCUUUGUGAACCUUACCUAUCGUCAGUUGCUUCGGCGGGAGGCCCCUGGGAGGGGCCCCGGGGCCCGGCCUGAGCCGGGCUCCCGCCGGAGGAGCGCAAACCAAACUCUUGCUGUACCUCAGUGGAACAUCCGAGUUAAAAACAAAAAACAAGUUAAAACUUUCAACAACGGAUCUCUUGGUUCUG
rnacentral:misc_RNA from 1 species